rnacentral:rRNA from 1 species
GACGAACGCUGGCGGCGUGCUUAACACAUGCAAGUCGAACGGAAAGGCCCAGCUUGCUGGGUGCUCGAGUGGCGAACGGGUGAGUAACACGUGGGUGAUCUGCCCCUAACUUCGGGAUAAGCUUGGGAAACUGGGUCUAAUACCGGAUAGGACAAUCGUUUAGUGUCGGUUGUGGAAAGUUUUUUCGGUUAGGGAUGAGCCCGCGGCCUAUCAGCUUGUUGGUGGGGUAAUGGCCUACCAAGGCGUCGACGGGUAGCCGGCCUGAGAGGGUGGACGGCCACAUUGGGACUGAGAUACGGCCCAGACUCCUACGGGAGGCAGCAGUGGGGAAUAUUGCACAAUGGGCGCAAGCCUGAUGCAGCGACGCCGCGUGGGGGAUGACGGCCUUCGGGCUGUAAACCUCUUUCGACAGGGACGAAGCUUUGGUGACGGUACCUGUAUAAGAAGCACCGGCUAACUACGUG